UACGGAGGGUGCAAGCGUUGCUCGGAAUUAUUGGGCUUAAAGGGUAUGUAGGUGGUCUCAUUUGUCUGGGGUGAAAGCCUUGAGCUUAACUCAAGAAGUGCCCCAGAAACGGUGAGACUAGAGUUCUGGAGAGGGUCGUGGAAUUCCCGGUGUAGCGGUGAAAUGCGUAGAGAUCGGGAGGAACACCAGAGGCGAAGGCGGCGACCUGGACAGAUACUGACACUCAACUACGAAAGCGUGGGGAGCAAACAGG
rnacentral:rRNA from 1 species